rnacentral:rRNA from 1 species
UACGGAGGGUGCGAGCGUUGUUCGGAAUUACUGGGCGUAAAGGGCGCGUAGGCGGCCUGCUAAGUCGAACGUGAAAUCCCUGGGCUCAACCCAGGAACUGCGUCCGAUACUGGUUGGCUUGAAUCCGGGAGAGGGAUGUGGAAUUCCAGGUGUAGCGGUGAAAUGCGUAGAUAUCUGGAGGAACACCGGUGGCGAAGGCGACAUCCUGGACCGGCAUUGACGCUGAGGCACGAAAGCCAGGGGAGCAAACGGG